rnacentral:lncRNA from 1 species
CCCUAGAAUAGUUUUGAACACCUCUACCAUAGAACAGUUUUAAACAGUUCUACCUUAGAAAUGAUUCUGAAAUUUCUACCCAAGAACGGAUUCUGAUAGCUCUACCAUAACAGAGGUCCAGACAGUUCUAUCUCUUGAACAUUUUGGGCAGCUUUAUCAGUUAUUCAUUCUUUUAAAUUAUUUUCUGUCUUUAUCUUUUUAUUUCGUAAUUGUGUGCCACUAGUGGAGCAUGAACUAAAGUUACCAAUCCGAAGCUACAGAUAUCACCUGCGGUUUUAUGUGGGGUUCCAGUUGCUCAAUUUUUUAUUUUCUGUGUAGUGUUUAGCAGUUAUUUUGUUUGGCGAUGGUUUUGUCUGUUUUAAUCUAUUAGUCUUGUGAUCUGUUAUCAAUUUUUCCUUUUUCGCUCCGUCCUAUCCUGCUACACGUGUUAUUACCUUUUCGAUUACAUUUUUUCCCCAUUUUUUGCAUAUGAUAUUAUAUAUGUAUACAAUUAACGUUAGGAUGGAAGAAAAAGCCGAUAAACAUGAUUGUAUUAUUGGUAUGGGACUUUAGUGUCUAAAUUUAUAACAAAACCUAAAUCAUUUGUGCAAGACUUUUGGUGAUAUUCCAAUACUAUUCUUUUUUAUUGAUCUUGAUCGUUACAAAACUUUUACUGAAUAAUAAUUAUGUCUCAUUUUAAGCACUACUCCGAAGAUUAUAAAAAAAGCAAUGCCAAUCACUGUUUAAUUGGUCAAGGUUAAAGAAAUGUUAACGUCAUGAUCAAAUAAAUGAU